rnacentral:rRNA from 1 species
AGAGCGAACGCUGGCGGCAUGCUUAACACAUGCAAGUCGCACGGGCAGGGGUAACCCUGUCAGUGGCGGACGGGUGAGUAACGCGUAGGUAUCUAUCCUUGGGUGGGGGACAACUGUGGGAAACUACAGCUAAUACCGCACGAUAACUGAGGUUUAAAGGCGCAAGUCGCCUGAGGAGGAGCCUGCGUACGAUUAGCUAGUUGGUGGGGUAAAGGCCUACCAAGGCUGUGAUCGUUAGCUGGUCUGAGAGGAUGAUCAGCCACAUUGGGACUGAGACACGGCCCAAACUCCUACGGGAGGCAGCAGUGGGGGAUAUUGGACAAUGGGCGAAAGCCUGAUCCAGCAAUGCCGCGUGUGUGAAGAAGGUCUUCGGAUUGUAAAGCACUUUCGACGGGGACGAUGAUGACGGUACCCGUAGAAGAAGCCCGGCUAACUUCGUGCCAGCAGCCGC